rnacentral:rRNA from 1 species
CAGUCGCCGCGGUAAUACGAAGGGUGCAAGCGUUACUCGGAAUUACUGGGCGUAAAGCGUGCGUAGGUGGUGGUUUAAGUCCGUUGUGAAAGCCCUGGGCUCAACCUGGGAAUUGCAGUGGAUACUGGGUCACUAGAGUGUGGUAGAGGAUAGUGGAAUUUCCGGUGUAGCAGUGAAAUGCGUAGAGAUCGGAAGGAACAUCUGUGGCGAAGGCGACUAUCUGGGCCAACACUGACACUGAGGCACGAAAGCGUGGGGAGCAAACAGGAUUAGAGACCCGCGUAGUCCCUGUCUCUUAUAA